GAGGGUAUAGCUCAAGUGGCAGAGUGCAUGCUUGGCAUGCACGAGGCCCUGGGUUCCGUCCCCAGUACCUCCU
rnacentral:tRNA from 1 species